CUGCAUUUUCAGGAUGUCAGUUGAUAUGAUGAUAGUAGCUUGCUAAAAUAUAUAGAUGACAUUGAUUUUAGAGUUGGGAAAUUGGCUUCGUCUCAUAAUGAGGAGCCUAUAAUACAUAACUAGCUUCAUAAACAUAUUUUGGGGAAUUAUGACAUUUAUUGGAAUAAAUGACCAACUAUUCAACUAAUUAGCCAGCUAUGAUUAACUGUAGCUAGCUGGGUUAGCUUGCUCGGUACAUUAAUAACUUUAGGUUGGUUGUUUUUAAGCACCAAGGAUGUUGCCUCUCCGAUCAUCGCUUGGAGGUCAGAGGUGACAUUGUGGUGAGUGUGUUUGAGGAGGACAUCAGGGACAGUGAGCUGCUGAGGACAGUGUGUAAAGGGAGCAUCGCUGGUCUACCACAAUGUGUCCCUCAUAGAUGUCAUCGAGAAGGUGGACUACAGCGAGAUCCACGGAGUCAACGUCAAAGGAACCCAGCUCCUUCUGUAGACGUACGUCUGGGAAAAUGUGGUGUCCAAAGAAAGAAAGUGAAUAAAGGCUAAAUAAUUGCCCAAGGCCCUGCCUGUAAGACUGUUCCUAUAGCUGACCAUCCCCUGGUCCAUGCUUAUAAUCAUUAUUACAGUGGUCUGUAAAUGUGUAAAUUAAAGUUGUGUGAUUACAAAUCAAA